rnacentral:SRP_RNA from 1 species
UGUCGGUCCCCUCGCAAUGUUCACCUGUGAACUCCGCCAGGCCCGGAAGGGAGCAACGGUAGCAGGAUGAACAUGUGCCGGGGUGUGGCUGGCAGGG